GCUCUGUCAGACACCAAAACCUUCCCCACGACCCUCAGCUGUAGGACUUUACAAAUUGUACCCAAGCAGCAAGUGCUUUGAGCUUGUACCCAUUUCCUCUAGGAACUGAGGGGAGCCUAGAACUAGUGAGAACCCGAGUGUCCUGCCUGCUCUACUGUGUUUUUGCUGUGCAAGAUGCCUCUGUUCUGUUCUAAAGGAGUAUCAAUUGCACUGAGCUUGCCAAAGUUCUCCUAUCUGGUAAGAAUGAAAGGAGGAAGAGAGAAACUUCAAAACGUUUAAAGGCUUGCUGAAAACAGAGCCCAGUGCACAGGUACUAAACCUGCAAUGGCCCCAGCCUGAUCCUGAGGAUCAGGCACAAAUCCAGGGUCACAACAGUGCCUCACCAAGUGUUUGCUUCCUUCUUGAAUCCAUACAGCGAGUCGGCCCUGGCUAGGUGAAUACAGUCAGGGAAAUAGCACAGUGCCCGAGAUGCAUCCUGGCUUCAUAUAUUCAGUAUGAUUGCAUUAUAUUCAUAAUUUCACUAUGAUCUUUGUUUCUGCUGGUUUCCAUUUGGAAUGGCAUUUUUGGAAAGGCAAUUUUGAGAAGAAAUAAAAAUAGAAAGCUUUAAAAAAAAAA